rnacentral:rRNA from 1 species
UACAUAGAUAACCUACCUCUGAGAUGGGGAUAACAACGUCCUGGGGCAACUCAGGACUACCGAAAGGGUUGCUAAUACCCAGUAAUGUCAGUGAACCGCAUGUUUUGCUGACCAAAGGGGGCCCGCAAGGGUCUUGCUUAGAGAGGGGUCUAUGUCCUAUCAGCUUGUUGGUAGGGUAACGGCCUACCAAGGCAAUGACGGGUAGCCGGCCUGAGAGGGUGGUCGGCCACAUUGGGACUGAGACACUGCCCAGACUCCUACGGGAGGCUGCAGUCGAGGAUCUUUCGCAAUGCCCGAAAGGGUGACGAAGCGACGCCGCGUGUGGGAAGAAGGCCUUCGGGUUGUAAACCGCUGUUAGGAGUUAAGAAAUGUAAGGGUGCUCAUACCAUCCUUAUUUGACAAAAGCUCCAGAGGAAGUCACGGCUAACUCUGUGCCAGCAGCCGCGGUAAGACAGAGGUGGCAAGCGUUGUUCGGAAUCAUUGGGCGUAAAGAGCACGUAGGCGGUCUUGCAAGUCUGGUGUGAAAGCCCCUGGCUUAACCAGGGAAUUGCAUUAGAUACUACAAGACUUGAGUACAGUAGGGGAGAGCGGAACUUUUAGUGGAGCGGUGAAAUGCGUAGAUAUUAAAAGGAACGCCGGCGGCGAAGGCGGCUCUCUAGGCUGUAACUGACGCUGAGUGUGCGAAAGCUAGGGGAGCAAACGGGAUUAGAUACCCCGGUAGUCCUAGCCGUAAACGAUGGGCACUA